AGAUAUGGGUGAGUCCCAAGGAGGCACUCAGGCCUCGAGGUUUGUUCCACCUCAGUAUCCACCCUACCAGUGGGGGGCUGAGUACCCGAUGAAAGAUACAGCAGAGUUUCCUAGGUAUCACCCAUAUCCUACCUUUAUGCCCUAUCCUCCCUUUUAUCCGCCAUAUCCACCAUCAUAUCCACAGUAUACCAUGUUUCCACCCUUCUUUUGUUACCCAAGGUCAGUAAACCCUAACCUAGAGCAUGUUGCACCUCC
rnacentral:lncRNA from 1 species